AGUGGGAUAGCUGGGUCAAAUGGUGGUUCCAUUCCAAGUUUUCUAAGAAAUCUCCAGACUGCUUUUGAGAUUGGUUGCACCAAGGUGUAGUCCCACCAACAAU
rnacentral:pre_miRNA from 1 species